rnacentral:rRNA from 1 species
AUGAUGGGAGAGAAAGAAGCUACAGUGAUGCUUUUUCAUUGUAGAAUGGAGCAUAUGUCUUUUGAUAAAAUGACUAAGGUCUUUCCUGAUGUAAUGUGUGGGGUGGAUAAGAACAAGCUUUUGUGUGAUGCUUGUGAGUUUGGCAAACACACAAGGACAUCUUAUGUGAGUAGAGGGAUUAGGAGUAUAUCUCCUUUUGUACUCAUUCAUUCAGAUGUGUGGACAUGUCCUGUUAUCUCUGUUAGUGGAAUGAAGUACUUUGUUACAUUUAUUGACCGUUACUCUCGCAUGACAUGGAUAUACCUUAUGAGGCACAAGGAUGAGGUGUUCAAGUGUUUUCUGGAUUUUUAUGCUUAUGUGAAAAAUCAAUUCAACACAUAG